UACAGCUUGUACAGUGGCAUCUCAGUUUUGCUGAGAAACUAUUAAUUUGAUGUUAUGAAAACGAGAUCUUCAGCUAUGAGGCGCCCUCAUACUCGGAGCCUUUGACCCCGGUUUAUCCUGGAGUUCAAGCCCUGAUAAUCUAUGUGCUUGAAGCUCAUCUUGGUGGAUAAUGGAAAAUUCUGCUCCAUUUCCUCUGGGACUUCAUGCUCAUUAGUCACAGCAUACCAAUUAAAAGCUUUGUUAGAAAACCAGAGGAAUGUGACACAGCACAUGUACAAACCAGGAAGCUUCAUUCACAUAUAGCAUGGAUGAAUGGCUCUGUAUGGAGAGCUAAGCAUCGCAUUAGCAGGUCGUGUGCAUCAGCAUGCAAGAUCAACAAAAGACAUGCAAGAAUUUUUAAGUCAGCACUCUCAAUAAGCAAUGAAUUUUAAUUCUGAACAAUGAGAGUUAUAGUAUUUUUCAAUGCCUACACCUUUCUUCUAACCAAAGUACUCUCAGAGACAACCAGCACCGCCUUGCUCUCGUUGAGUUACGGUAAUGUGAGGACUUCUGAAGUAAACUGAAACAGGCACUGAAGUUGUGCACGUUAAAGGAAAACACAUGGAGGAUUCCUUGCUGCUGCCUCCCCAUGGAGGCGCAAACUCAAUGGGGUGACUGACUACUGACUUUGUAAAAUGAAUUAGACUGCAGCAUGCAUUCAGCUCCACAGUGUUUCCACAGAAUUUAUGCAAUCUCAUCCACAGUCUGAAUUUGGUUCUCUGGUACAUCUCUGACAGGAAAAGCUAUGAAAUGGAAGCUCUUGAGAGAUAACUUGGCCUUUAAAAAUUCUCUAGGUUUUAUUUGAAUAUCAGAAAGAAUCAUUUCCAAACUUUGUCCAUGACUGACUAUUUCUUUAUUUUAAAACCAAAACAAGCUUUGAGAUAAUUAACAUUACACAUACAGAUUAUACAGUCGUUAUUUGAGCUUGCCAUAAGAAGGUGGUGGGAAAGUCAUAGUUAAUUCUACUUCUCAUGGUGCUGCUAUUGCUUGUUUUGCCUGAAGAGCCCACAGAUUUGUAUCCCAAGAUAUAACUAAAGUCCGCUGUACCCAGUCUAAUAACUAGAGAUGGGACAAACUAACCUUGCCUAGUUUGAGACUCAACUGAAUAUGAGACACCAAGAGUUUUACUCUAAAUGUGUUGGAGUUGCAUUUCAAUCAUCACAGUCUGCAAAGUAAAGAACACAGACAGAACAAGGGAAGAAGAUGAUUUGGAAGAAUACAGAGUGAAAAAUAAAGCAAAGUGAAAAGAUGUGAAGACCAGUAACGAAACAAAUAUCAAUACUUAGUAAGAUAAAACAGAGAAAGGAAAUUGAAAAGUCAGUCGUUAUUGUAGUCUUUGCUUUUAUCAAAUAAAAGUAUGGGUGACAAACACUCAUAAUGCUCUUCUAUCAGUAAAACAACCCAUAGGUGAAAGAAAUAUUUUAAUUGAUUCAGACCUGAAACAGAAUGGAAAACGAAAGGUUUACAUAUCCCCAUUUUUUCUCCAAAAUCUGGACAUCAAUGUGCUGGUUCCUCCGGCACUCAGCUUCAGAGAGUCAUUGGUGCUGCUGACAGUACCUGGUUUGAAAGAAAAAGCCCUAGCUCCAGAUCUCCAGAAGAGUGGGCAGCGAGAAGCUUUGCUUGGCCACCUCCAGUUAGGAGCUGCAUCCCACUGAGAGUUUUCCAGAGUGGGGACAAAGUGGAAGAAGACAAAGCAGGAAGCUAAAGGGAAGUUAGAAUAGGCAAAAAGAGUUCAUAAAAACACAGAGACAUGGAAAAUCCCAAGUUAGAAGGGACCCACAAGGAUCACCAAGUCCAAACCACGCCUCCACACAAAGUAUGCCUGAAAGCGGUGUCCAAACACUCCUUGAACUCUGGCCAUG